UCAGAGAGGUGUCACAAGGGGCAAGGCCCUCUUUUGAAAAGAACAUGGACUAAGGAAGCCAUUAAGAGCUUUGAAGAGGUUGGAGAAAAGGAAGAAGAUAAAAGGGAUUUUCCAGGCCCUGUUUAACUCUGUCCUGCUGAGUGACUGAGUUGGUCAGCAGUUGUCUCCUUCUUGCCUGGUUCCCCAACCAAGAGGCACUGUACUUGAGAAACCAGAUCCAGGGAGCUUUAUCUACACUUGGAUCUGAUUUAGAUGAUGGCAUUCUGGACUUUGAUCUCAUGCUGUAACAGGUCAAGACUUUUGGGGAUCAUGGGAAGGUGGAUGUAUUUUGCAUGUGCAAGAAAUGUAAAUAAUUUGUGACCGGACGGCAGAUGGCAGUGGCUUUCUGAUAUAUCCCAAAAAUCUUUGAUUACUCCUUUCGAAAGGUGGAGACUAAUUUCCCUUGCCUUGAGGGAGUUAGUGACUUGCUUCUCAUUAAUACAUAUAGUGAAAGUGAUGAUAUGUGACUUCUGAGAAUAGAUCAUAAAAGACAUUGAAGUUUCCUCUUUGCCUUCUCUUUUGGAUUAUUCACUCUGGGGGAAGCCCAGCUGCCAUGUUAUGCUGAGGACACUCAGCAGCCCUAUGGAAAGAUCUAUAUGGCAAGCAACUGAAGGCUUCUGCCAACAGCCAUGUGAGUGAGAUAUCACCGAAGUAGAUUCUUCAGACCCUGUCUAGCUUUAGAUGACUGUAGCCUCCAUUGAUGUCUUGACUGCAACCUAUGAAAAACCAUGAGCCAGACCACCCAACUAAGUUCCUCCCAAAUUCCCAACCCACAGAAACUGUGUAAGACAAUAAAUGUUUAUUGUUGUUUAAGCCAUUAAGUUUG
rnacentral:lncRNA from 1 species